GGGAGCGUCUCCAUCCUUCUAUCUAGGUGCAGCUUGCGGAGUGCGCGGCGGCCGGCAGGAGCAAGGUGCCUGUGGCUGAGUUGGAACCGAGCUGAUCCAGGUACCAGAGCCCACCAAGUCGCUGUGACUCUGAGCAGCCAGAUGGAGUGGCCUAGAUGACCUGGCAUAGAUGAAGUGACAUCAAUGGAGUGACAUAGAUCAAAUGGCAUAAAUCGAGUAGCAUAUAUGGUCUUCCAUUUCAGGAACAAAUCGUAGCAUAAAAAGUUGGUGAAGCCUUUUCUAUGGACUUUUGUUAUGGAAAACCUCUGGGUUCAUUCCAAAGGGAUAGCUGACUUUCUACCGGUCUUCCUUAGUUCCCCCUCACAAGAACAUCAUGGGGUUUCUAGAAAUAAAAGCCAUUGAAAGG
rnacentral:lncRNA from 1 species